GGCGCAGGGGCCUGUGACGAGUUUCCUCUUAUGACUGGGACAGUUUCUUUCCCCAGGGGCCCAGGGAAACCCCCAAGAGCCUAAAAAGAAGUAGUUCCCAUGCCACAGGCCAGGGCUAAAGAGGAACUCUGUUGACGAUGCUGGGCUCUCCCAGGGCAUAGCCAGGCCUGGCGGGAAUUUCAGGGGAAGAAGGACUAUUCACAGAACCUGUUCCCUUCCGACCCCUUAGGAGCUACAAACCCCUCUGGGACAGGCCCUGGUCCCACACCAAACUGUAAGAAUGAAAAACUGGGUAACUCACAGCCAUUCUGUGCUCCCCCACUCAAGUGCCUGCCCGCCCCCCCCUCCCGGAUGUGGUGAGGCCCAGCUGCACGUGGGCCCCCCGGGACACUCCUGCGUUGGGGGCGAGAAAGUUGGUAGGUGGCUGAACUGAAGCAGGCGGGUGGGGACAGUGUUCAGAACCCAGCCUCCCAAAUCUUUAUUGCCCUGAGCCAAUCCUCUGCCUUUACUAAGACCCUUCCAGCAUCCCUGCAGAUCCUUUGUUUCUUGGAGGCCUGUGGCUAGAACCUGUGGGGACCCCUAACAUAAGGUAUGGUAGGUAUAUAGGUGCUCGAGCAAAAUAUUAUGCCUUUCCUCUUGAUUUGGGGAACUUGGGGCUUGUGGGGGAUACAGAAUGCCAGGGAGAGCUACGAGGACUCCUGGACCAGGAGUCAUGGACUUGUGUCUCAGUGGCACGGUCAUGCAAGUUGGUUCCAGGGCCACAGCCUGGGUCCCUUCCCACCAAGCCUGUCUGGAGGCUGAUACAGCACAACUGGCAGCCCAGCCAGGGAGUCUGGACCAUAGAUCCCUGAAGCUGAUAGGGGGCUCUUAUCCUUGGCAUCAGCCUCACAGAUGACUUAAUGGCUGAUUCCAGGGACAAAUUACAGAGCAUGGAGGGGGACCAUCAUGUCUAGUCUUGCUGAACAGAGUCACCUGCCAUGCCUGGAGCCACAGCCUUCCAGCUGUGGAGAAGAGGGGAGGCCCUGCUAGCUGAGGUCCCUGCAGCAGGAGUGAAAUCAACUUAGCUUUGUGGGAAACUCCAGCCCCUGACUCCAGUGCUGAACUGAGCUGCUGGGCCCCCUGGCAGGGUGAGAGUGUGUCCCUCAGAGUCUGCUGGGUGCCUCAGUCUUUGCAUAUGAGCCAAUGCGGAUCUGUCACACAUACACCCCAAAGCCACUGUCCUUGGCGUGGUACCCUUUUCAGCUCUGACAAACACAGAUGAACUCAAAGAAGCCAAACUGAACCAUAAAAGAGGAGCUUGCCUUCAUCUUCUGCUGGAGUCCCAAAUCAGGGGGAAACCCCCACCUUCAACACCUGAUGAAAGUCCAAGGCUGGGGUAGAAGAGCCCACAUCCCUCCCCAGCUCCUGUUCUGACUGAAGAUCCCCACCCCCCAAUGCCGCCACCAAUGAGUCAUCUGUAGGUUGUCUGCCACCCCUUGCUACCUCCUCAGGACCCUGUUUGUCCAGAACCAUUCGCUGGAAGCCUGCCAAGAGGAGAUAGGACUCUGGACAUCGGCUGGGGAUAACAUGAGAUGGGGCCCCAGCCAGGAUGGCUGCUGGCACAGGCUGCCAAGUGCCUCUUCACUAGACAAGCUGAAACCACGUGUGUGUGCCUGGUUUUACACCGUGCUGGGGACCGAACCCAGUGCUCCCAGUGAGUGAAGAGCAGAGCAUUUGACCAGCUGAGCCAUGUUCCCAGCCCACACUGGUUAACAGGAAGGCAGCACUUAACACCGUGGUGUGAAAGGAUCCUGUGAAAGGAUCCGAGAGACUCACCACCCACGCAUAUUUCAAAACAAGCAAAGGACGGCAGCAGCAUCUCCUCGUGUAACCGGGCCUGGCCUCAGUCCUCUCCACUGUCCUGUCUCAGCCUCCCAAGUGCUGGGAUCACAGACAGCUGCCACUGCUCUCAGCCCUAACCUGACUAUGGUAAUGGUUCCUCCUGCCCAGGGCCUGGGUGCCUGCCUCCCAGCUCCAGCCAGCUUCCACACUAUUCCAAAUUAUUUGCCUAAGGACAUCUGAGGGGAACCUGAACCCCUCAGCAGGACAGUUAAGGCUGUUAUCUCUUCCUAUUUCUGGCUCAGUUCUGUGGCAAAGCCCAAGAGUUCCCCCCUACCAUGCAGCUCCCUGGGUCCCCACACCCUUUUAGUUCACAGUAUCCUUUCAUCCAAGAGCCCAGAUAGAGGCAGAAUGCUCCAAGCUCCCUUGCUGGAGUGCAGCGCUGGUACCACCUCCUCCAGGAAGCCUCCUAGUUUGUGAAGUGACUACCUCUUGAAUGCCUAGCACCCAGUACUGUGAAGCACUUAGAGGCUUGAUCCCCUGAGGCAAGGGUGCAUACAGCUGUCACUACCCAUCCCACCCCUUCUCCCCAGUGACCUCCUCCAUCCUCACCCCAGGGAUUGUCUUCAGGCCUCCUUCAUGGGAGAAAUCUGAGACCCAGAGGGGGAAAUGAGUCAUGGCCUCCAGAGGCCUAAGCAAAGGGCUGUGUGUGUGUGGGGGGGGGUGCAGAUUGAUUCAGGCUGCCCCUCCCCCCAUCACUCUGACUGACUCAGGCACCCCCUUCUACACCCCCACCCCCAUUCUACAGGCCUUGGCUGGUCCUUCUCCCAAGCGUCAAUCAGCACCGGAACUGUGGAAAGCCAACCCUGCAGGGCAAUGGUGGCCUCUCAAUAUUGAAUCCAGGGUCAGUCACAGAUCCCAGCAGGGAAGAGACCCAACAGCUCUUAGAAUGAGGGUUUAAAAACUGGUUUGGUUCCUGUGGGAUGGAAGAAAUUAUCACAGUGGUGUCCCAGACUUGGUUUUGGUAAUGCCUGUCUCCCCAUCCAGGACCCUGGGGGCCUGGGAAGUGGGAGGCAGUACAGGCAGGAGGGGCUUAUUGGUUAAUGGCUCCUCCAACUGUAGAAAAGGAUACAAGGGGGUGACCCUGGGGGCACCCAGCAAGGUGGCAUCCAGAGGCCCAGAAACCCUGACAUAAGGCCAAACAUCUCAAACCACACCCAACCCUGUAGGGCAGGAGGUAGCUUCUCAUUAUUGAGUCCAGAGUGGGUAACUGAUCCCAGCUGAGAAGAGACCCAACAGCUCAUCAAAUGAGAGAAAUAGAAACUGUUUAUGUACCAACAAUAAGGAACCUUUCCCUUCCCAGCCAGUGCUGGGCUACCCCUCUGAUGAGUCAUGUCCCCUUAGCCUCACUGAGGAAGGGGCUAAAGCCGGGCCACCUCAGCACUGUGCUGAGAAAAUGCUGUGGAAAUUCACCGAGCCUCGCCAUCCCGGAAGGCAUUCUGGAAACCGUGAAGGGCUGUCUGUGGGGAAAUGAUUUAAAUAAACAGCAGAUUCAUGCCUUCAAGAAAGUUAGUUGGUCCUGAGAACAGGGACAGCACCCAACUCUAGGGAGAUCCCAAGCUUGUUAUACUGCCCAGACACAGGGCUGCCUCUGUCCUGUGUGCCCUCUCCCAACUGAGGACAUAGGUUCCCUCAGGGCCUUUCUUUUCUUGGUUCCUCAAUCUCCUGGCCCCUGCCCCACUUCCUGAAUCCUGGAGGCAAGAGAAGACAGAGAGAAAAGCGACCCUUAUGGUUGUCCACCUUCAGGCUGGGUCCACAGAGAGCCAGUGCCCCGCCAGCCUAUCUGAGCCUUCCUUGUAAUGCCUUUUGCUGAGAGGUUUGUUUUGGGGGAACAGCAGCACUAAUGCUUGGGCCUGGAGAGGCCUGGGACCGGGAAGACAUCCCUCCUGAGCUGUCAGCCACCUGCUCCUGAAAGAAGUUUUUUUCAAGAUCCACUUCCUCACACAUACGUAGAGAAGCUCACCCCAUGUGUUAGUCAGGGUCCUCUAGGGUCACAGAACUUACCGAAUGUCUCUAUAUAUUAAGGGAAUUUAUUGUGGUGACUUACAGUCUGUAGUCCAACUAAGCCAACCAUGUGCAGCUGUGGAUGAGAAAUGUUAGCAUUUCUUCUAGGCUCCGCCCCACAGUUACCUGGCAACAGCCAGGUGUGCUUAAGCUCAUCUUUAAAAAUUAUCAUGCCGUUAACAAAUGUAUCUCUUUUGUAAACUUAUAAGCUACAGGAAACCCACUCAGAUCUACCUCUCGUGGACCAAAUAAACUCCAUCCAGAUAAGUACACCUGCCAGUCAAUGGCCUACCUAUCCCAGACGGUGAGCUUCCUCUCUUGUGCCCUGGGAUUGGGACUCCCCUCACCCCCAACCACCAAGGCCUAAGGGUUUCAAAUGUACUUUCAAAUAUGCCUAAGAAACUUUUUUUCUCCCAAACAUACUUAACUUUAUUCUCUACCUCUAAUAUAAAUGUGUGUGUUUCAGCAUCUUGUCAAGUCCAGUUGUUUAUUCAAAAUCUACAUCCAGGACAGCUCCAGAGAAGCAACUCACAGAUGUUCAAUCUGCUCUCACAGACACAGCGGCUUCUACUGGACCUGCUCCUUCCUACCCACGGAUGGUUCCACAGACCCUGACAGCAAGGAAACAGCUGACUCUCCUAAGGCUAGACCAACAUCCCAUCCACAUCUUCUUAGGCUCCCCAGACACCCCAAAGUCAGCAGGAAGCAGCUAAAGAUCAUGAAGGCCCUAUUCCUGCUUCACCAUCGCCCUGUCUAGUUUU